UACGGGGGGGGGCUAGCGUUGUCCGGAUUUACUGGGCGUAAAGAGCGCGCAGGCGGUCGUUCAAGUCGAGUGUGAAAGCCCCCGGCUCAACUGGGGAGGGUCACUCGAUACUGAUCACUUGAAGGCAGGAGAGGGAAGCGGAAUUCCCGGUGUAGUGGUGAAAUGCGUAGAUAUCAGGAGGAACACCGGUGGCGAAGGCGGAUCUCUGGGCCUUACCG
rnacentral:rRNA from 1 species